GGUGUCAUAGCUCAGUUGGUAGAGCAAAGGACUGAAAAUCCUUGUGGCCCCGGAUCUAUUCCUGGUGACACCA
rnacentral:tRNA from 1 species